rnacentral:rRNA from 1 species
CCUACGGGAGGCAGCAGUGAGGAAUAUUGGUCAAUGGCCGAGAGGCUGAACCAGCCAAGUCGCGUGAGGGAAGAAUGUCCUAUGGAUUGUAAACCUCUUUUGUCAGGGAGCAAAGUCACCCACGUGUGGGUGUUGGAGAGUACCUGAAGAAAAAGCAUCGGCUAACUCCGUGCCAGCAGCCGCGGUAAUACGGAGGAUGCGAGCGUUAUCCGGAUUUAUUGGGUUUAAAGGGUGCGUAGGCGGGUUCUCAAGUCAGCGGGAAAAUCGUGGGGCUCAACUCCAUACAGCCGUUGAAACUGAUGAUCUUGAGUGGGCGAGAAGUAUGCGGAAUGCGUGGUGUAGCAGUGAAAUGCAUAGAUAUCACGCAGAACUCCGAUUGCGAAGGCAGCAUACCGGCGCCCGACUGACGCUGAAGCACGAAAGCGUGGGUAUCGAACAGGAUUAGAUACCCGUGUAGUC